rnacentral:rRNA from 1 species
UGUUGACCUCGGAUCAGGUAGGAAUACCCCCCUGAACUUUAAGCAUAUCAAUAAGCGGAGGAAACUU